GAUGAACGCUGGCGGCGUGCCUAAUACAUGCAAGUCGAGCGAACGGACGAGAAGCUUGCUUCUCUGAUGUUAGCGGCGGACGGGUGAGUAACACGUGGAUAACCUACCUAUAAGACUGGGAUAACUUCGGGAAACCGGAGCUAAUACCGGAUGAUAUUUUGAACCGCAUGGUUCAAAAGUGAAAGACGGUCUUGCUGUCACUUAUAGAUGGAUCCGCGCUGCAUUAGCUAGUUGGUAAGGUAACGGCUUACCAAGGCAACGAUGCAUAGCCGACCUGAGAGGGUGCUCGGCCACACUGGAACUGAGACACGGUCCAGACUCCUACGGGAGGCAGCAGUAGGGAAUCUUCCGCAAUGGGCGAAAGCCUGACGGAGCAACGCCGCGUGAGUGAUGAAGGUCUUCGGAUCGUAAAACUCUGUUAUUAGGGAAGAACAUAUGUGUAAGUAACUGUGCACAUCUUGACGGUACCUAAUCAGAAAGCCACGGCUAACUACGUG
rnacentral:rRNA from 1 species